GAGUGGUUUCUGAUUUCACUGACAUUUACCUUAGCCAAUAGGACUUUUUGACAGGAAAGAGGGGAAAAAAAGCACUGCUGAAAUCUCUCGAUAACACAGAAUACUGUAGCAUAUCUGAGACUGGCAUGGAUCUGUUCACCGAAUAUCCUUCAUUAUGGAAACAUAAAGAGGGACUUUUCAGAACUGCGCCAGUAAAAUAUUAGUCACUGCUGGAAUAUCUAGACAACUGUGCUGAAGUCGAAGCAAGGAAAGCAUUGAAGGGGAGGAGCAUGUAAGAGGAAAUGUGUUUCAAAGAUGGCCAAGGAGCUGAGCUGUGAGGCAUGUUCUACGAAAAUCUGCACUCAGGAGGAACUGCAUUGGUAUAACGCUGGAGUCAGACAUAACCACCUUCACAUAUUUGCCUUUAGUAAUGGUUACUUCACCACCAAAAUGAGAUGUGCUUGACUCUGCUUGCUUGGUGGGGAACAACCUCAUGCUGCACCCGAGUAAAGCGCCUCUGAUUUCUCCACACUCACAGGAAGAAAGUAAGAGGAACAUGCAGAUGGUGUCAGGGUUUAUGUACAUUACACCUGCCAACCAGCUCCUACAGAAUCAUUGCUGGAAUCUCAUACAAGUGUUAGCUUCACAACAAGCUUCUAAUGUAGUCACAUACACGUGGUACAACUGCAAGAUAAAUACACUCUUUGGAAAAAGGUUUCCUCAACAGCUCUUCCUAAUGAGGUUCUAUUUGGAACAUGGAACUUAAAUGGUUCCCUCAAAGGGAGAAUCCGAAGAACUUUAGGGUGCUAGAUGGAACAAUUUUUUUCUAAGAGUGUAUUACAAAAUGCUUUUUCACAGAUUUGAUUGAUCAUUUGCAUAAUUUCACAAGAAACAAACAGAAAAUUUAAUGAUAUAAAGGUCAGUACAGGAGAUCACUAAUAUAAUUAAAAGUCUUGUUUAAAUGACUCUAAUAUUUGUAAAAUAUCUGCUAUGUUUUUUUUAGAUGUUAAUAAAGCUUAAUAAAACUAAGCAGUUUAUCCUGGUCAGGGUCAUGGUGAACACAGGUGUACCACUCUAUUACAUGGCACCAUAAUACACACAUUCACACACUCAUUCACACCUAGGGACAAUUUACUGUAGCCAGUUCACACACUGCAAGUUUUGGAGAGAUGGAAGGAAACCAGAGAAUCCAGAGGAAACCAGAGAAUCCAGAGGAAGAACAUGCAAAACUCCACAUAGACAGUAACCUGAACUCAGGAUCAAACUGGUCACCCUGGAGCUGUGAGGUGGCAACGCUGUCACCCUAGUUAUUUUAGUGACAAAAAGGUGAGAUAUUUAAUAGGGAAAAUAUAUCUCAAAGCUACAUAAGCUAUACUAUACUACAUUAGCUGCACCAAAGCUACAUGAGCAAUACUGUUUCUUACAUAGUGUGCAAGUUAAGCAAAUUUCAAAAGCAACACAUUAGCUCAGUUUGUCAUAACUGAUGCUGUAGUGCUAUCAGUGUGAAUCAGCAAAGAGUCCUCACCUCUGCUCAGCACAGAGAGCAAACAACAGCUACGUCUAGUAGAACUCACACAGGGCUUGUUGGAUUGGCACUUAUCCUAGGGCAAAACAUCCUGAUUCCUUGCAGCACCAGAGACACACCCAAGCAAGGCAUCUCCAGUAAACUGUAUUUUCUUCCUUUAAGUGAUGCUGGUGAUUGAGUUUUAAAUCUUUAAAUAUGGGCAGGUACAUUCACUUUAAUCCCAUCUUAUUAUUCAAUUAUUCACAUUCAAGCAUGUUAUUUCGUAUGCUACUACUGCUAGUACUACUAAGAAUAAUUCAGUAACUACAGUGAAAGUAAUAGUAAAGGUGUGUAGUUACGAGAGUGAGGAUUAAGACCAGGUCCUGGGAUAUUAACUGUGUUAAACACACUGGCAGAACAUCAAGAUGUGCAGUGCAUAUUAUAAAAGCUGCCGUCAUGCAAGAUGUAAGAUAUCAGUGUCAGUCAGCUUAACUGUGUUGUAGCUUUAAGAUACAUAAACACUCAUUUGAUAAAAAACAACUUACAGUUGAGAUGGGACAUAACUGAGCAGCUGAGGUAUAAAGGUCUUGCUCAAGGACCCAAUCUGACCCAAACCGACCCAAACCCAUCUAAAAUAUAUAGAAUAGAGUAUAGACACUUUUACUUAUUAAACAAUGAUGACCUGAGGAAAUACCUUCAACAGUUUAUACAAUUUGACGAUAUGACAAUAAGGUAAGCAAAAAUGCAUUUAUGUUAACAAGAGAAAAUUAAAGUAAUAAAAUUGAUUUCCAGAUCAAGGUGUGUCAGAUUAUGGCUUAUUAAUUCCAGUCAUAAAAGCCUUCAUUCAUUAAUCUUCAGGGUUGUGCUAAACACGAUGAGGGACAUGGAUACGACACAUGAUACAUCCUUGACAUGAUGCCAGUCCAUCUCUGGACACCAUGUACACACAUUCACACCUAAGGGCAAUUUACCAAAGCCAAUAAAACUACAAGCAUGCUUUUUUAGGAGGUGGAGGAAAUAGGAGAACCAGGAGGAAACCAGCAUACAUGAGGAGAACAUGCGAAAUGCCACAGAGACAGUAACCUAAGCUCAAGACUGAACCAGGGACCCUGGAACUCUUUACAAUUUAUUAUUUACAAUUUCUAUUCCGUUUAACCCUUGAAACUUACUGAAUCUGACCAGAUUUACAUUCCCCACUCUCAAAACUAUAAACCUUUCCUAUUAGUUUCACUGCUGUUUCUUAAUAAUUUAUAUUAGACACUAAAUAAUGUGCUUCAGGAUGAAUAACUGACUAAUAAACUUAAUAAACUUUGGAAGGUUAAAUGAAAUGUAAUAUAAUGACUACCUUUAAAAAAAUGGAAAGCAUGUCGUCACCAUACAGCUGAUAUAGUGAAAUCUAAUACUGUUGAUGUGUUACAUUAAUGAAGACAGUGCAGCUACUCUGUGCUUGCCUUGAAACAGGGGUGAGUAGAAAACAGCAGCCGACAGGCAGGCUGCAGGGAAAGCGUGCGGGCUGUCCGCCGCCGUGGCAUUUGGGUUAUAUCGUCUGAAAGACUGCAGCACUACAAAGAGGGUCAUUACAUAGGAGGAGCUCCCCAUAACAUACUCAUUUCACUGACUGAGGUGAAGACACACACACGUGUAAUACACACACACACAGAAAAAGGUAGGGAGAGAGAGAGAGAGAGAGAGAGAGAGAGAGAGCAGACUGAGGUUUCUAAAUUACAGGCUAUUCUCCGGCCAGAUAUCCUUUUUUUCCUAACUCUGGACUCUGUGGUAAUGAACUUUCCAUAUGACAGACAGAGAGAAAAGAGGGAACCAAAUCUAGAACAUUUCUGCCUCUGAAUAUACUUCAUCUAUGUUUUAAAAGAACUCUGUUAUUCCCAUUCUGCACUAAUGCAUGCAAUCAUGUACAAGUGAGCACCUCUAUGAUUUUUAUUGCUUCCAAGCAGUUCCUGAAAAGAAUUUGCCACUUCAGGGAACAGGUCUGAGCACAUAUCAGAAUGUGAUAUCCACUGACCUUCCCUUCAAAGUCUAUGUUUGAAACUUAGGGCACUAUCAGUAAAGCUAGUAACAGCAGCAAUUUAAGGAGAGCUUGUUUUCUUUAUGCACUCUAAAUGAUCUAGCUCACAGUCUGGAGUGUGUGACUUGCACAUCUGCCGGCCAUUUCAUUUCCACUGUUUUAGAGUCGUGCAAAAUGUGUAGGUGGGGCUUUCAGAGCUUUUACCCUGAGGAUGGAGGAGGGGAACAGGCUUCACAAAAAAAAAAAAAAAAUCACUCAAAAAACAUGGGUGAAUUUGGAGACUUAGAUCAGGAGACUCCAUCUUAAGUCCAAAUGCAUGGUAUCAUAAAAGGAAGACGAGUCAAAACUUUCCAAUUUUUUGCAUUAGGAUCUUUUUGUUAUGUUUAACCUGUGAUAGAGGAUGCAUUUGUGCCGCAAGAGAAAAAACUCUGAGCAGGGAGGGACCCAUCGCUCUGUCUAACACAUAGUUAGCUUUUUUUUCAGCAUCCACAUGACUCAUGGCUUGGUCAGCAAACGCAUAAUAAAAGGCAUAAAAAUAUCUCCACACAAUGUCACUGGAAUACACAGUGCGACAAAUUAGUGGAUACCUCUGGCCGUGGUUUUAGAGCAAGGACCUAACAUAUAAUACAUUUUCAUGGCUACUGGGUUGCCUGGCAAAAAGGAACGGCUCUGACCACAGAGUAUGAAAUUUAAACUUAAGUUCAGAGAAUGUCAACAUUUUCAAAUGGGUUACUGUAGAUUUAGUAAAGUAUCCUUGUGCAGACCGAAAACUCUCUCUCACCUUAAUUUUAGUAUUUUGUACCUUUGGCGAAUGAGUAAAUACUGUAAGAUCACUUUUUAUAUCAGCAACCUCACUUGAGUAUGAUUUUUUUUCCCCCACAUUUAUCAAUAAAAAUUGGACAGUGUUCUCUGCAGAUACUGAUACUGUAAAGAUUAGUCCCUAAAACAUUCACUGUACAUCACCUGAAAAAUAUGUGAAAAUAAACUGUUUUAAGAAACCGGUUUCUACUCUAUGACCUUGGAUCAAUGUUCCCUAUAAUGUUCCCAGGUCAGUUUUCUUACUGAUCUGCCAUUUCUAAUGAGCUGCUGUUUCUGCCAUUCAAGCUUAAAUAUCCCCAUGAGCAGCACAGUUUGCCAGCUGCACUGCCCCUGCCUGGUUAGCAUUAGCCGGCUAGCCUGGGAAGAGAACUCUCAACAGUGCCGCUAUGCUAGCAAGAUUUAAUGGGGGAUUGUCAGACGUGUUGAAGAAUUGAGAUGGCUUGCUAAGAUGACAGCUAAUACAGCUAGUCAUGGCCAGUGGUUUUCGAGUAGUCAGAUUAUUUGAAAUCCUGGCUAUAGAAAUACAUGUUGCCUCUUAAAAUCUUAAAAUGUUCAUCCUCAAAGCAC